rnacentral:rRNA from 1 species
UACGGAGGGGGCUAGCGUUGUUCGGAAUUACUGGGCGUAAAGCGCACGUAGGCGGCUUUGCAAGUCAGAGGUGAAAGCCCGGGGCUCAACCCCGGAAUUGCCUUUGAGACUGCAUCGCUAGAAUUGUGGAGAGGUAAGUGGAACUGCGAGUGUAGAGGUGAAAUUCGUAGAUAUUCGCAAGAACACCAGUGGCGAAGGCGGCUGACUGGACCAUUACUGACGCUGAGGCGCGAAAGCGUGGGGAGCAAACAGGG